AUGGAAUCCAAGUCUUUUAUCUCUUUGUUCUUUUCUUGUGCAGUGGUUAUUAUAUUUGUUGCGGCAAUUGAGUCGUCUAAAGAUGAGAAACAAUUUGGUGAAACAAAAGAAUUCCAAAAUAAAAUUGGAUUCGAUUAUAGAAAACCCUGGACCACUUGGUAUGACUAUCCAAAGAAACAUAAGGGUGGUAAAGGAGGCAACAAAGGUGAACUUGGCUCAGGUAGAACAGGCUCAAUAGAAAAUGGUGGUGAAGGAGGCGCAAAAGGCAGGGGUGAACAAAAUGGAGGUGAAAAAGAGAAUGGAAUUGAGGGCUAG